GCGGCGUGCCUAAUACAUGCAAGUCGAGCGGACAGAUGGGAGCUUGCUCCCUGAUGUUAGCGGCGGACGGGUGAGUAACACGUGGGUAACCUGCCUGUAAGACUGGGAUAACUCCGGGAAACCGGGGCUAAUACCGGAUGGUUGUCUGAACCGCAUGGUUCAGACAUAAAAGGUGGCUUCGGCUACCACUUACAGAUGGACCCGCGGCGCAUUAGCUAGUUGGUGAGGUAACGGCUCACCAAGGCGACGAUGCGUAGCCGACCUGAGAGGGUGAUCGGCCACACUGGGACUGAGACACGGCCCAGACUCCUACGGGAGGCAGCAGUAGGGAAUCUUCCGCAAUGGACGAAAGUCUGACGGAGCAACGCCGCGUGAGUGAUGAAGGUUUUCGGAUCGUAAAGCUCUGUUGUUAGGGAAGAACAAGUGCCGUCAAAUAGGGCG
rnacentral:rRNA from 3 species